CCUACGGGUGGCAGCAGUGGGGAAUAUUGCACAAUGGGGGAAACCCUGAUGCAGCGACGCCGCGUGAGUGAAGAAUUAUUUCGGUAUGUAAAACUCUGUCAGCAGGGGAGAAAAGGACGGUACCUGACCAAGAAGCCCCGGCUAACUACGUGCCAGCAGCCGCGGUAAUACGUAGGGGGCCAGCGUUAUCCGGAUUUACUGGGUGUAAAGGGAGCGUAGACGGCAGGGCAAGUCUGGAGUGAAAGGCGGGGGCUCAACCCCCGGACUGCUCUGGAAACUGGCAGGCUGGAGUGCAGGAGAGGUAAGCGGAAUUCGUAGUGUAGCGGUGAAAUGCGUAGAUAUUAGGAGGAACACCAGUGGCGAAGGCGGCUUACUGGACUGUAACUGACGUUGAGGCUCGAAAGCGUGGGGAGCAAACAGGAUUAGAUACCCGAGUAGUC
rnacentral:rRNA from 1 species